UCCAAAUUGUCAAUUUCCCAUUCUGUUAAAGCUCAUACAGUUCACACGCAGUCCCAUUGCGGUCACUCGCCGCCGUUUGGUUCGAAGUCAUGGCCUUUUCCGGUUGCCUAUCACCGGCAGUUAUGAUCAUUGACUCUAAAAAAAAAAAAAAUUGAAAGUUCCAAAUGAGCUGAAUUAAAAAAGAACUGAUCGAGAAAAAAGCAAAAAGCUGAAACGAGAGGGAGAUAAUUAAGGAGGAGGCUCAGAUCCGGAUACUAUAUGAUCAGGCAAGAGAAAGGUGAAGCACUACCGCCAUGGCUGCGACAACCGGUUGCCAGCGAAAAUGGUCGUUUUCAUCGGCCAUCCGGGUCGCCCCGCCGAUAAGAAGCGGGUACUUUCGCCAUUUGUUGCCUAAUUGGACACUCUGGAAAAGAACGUAUCAUCACAGCCUUAUAUGUAUGUGUCUGCAUCAGAAAGGGAAUGAUAAAGAAAAAGAAAAGAAGAGAACACUUUGUAUGGAGAGAGAGAGAGAUUGGACCGAUGAAAUCAUCGGCCCCGAUAAGAGCCUCAUUCGUUUUCCAGUCAGUGUCAAAACCCUAGGUUGGUCUCUGCUCUUUGUUUAGAGGGGGCUUGGUUUUCCAAUCUUCCGUUUUUGCCCUCUGGUGGUUGGCUUUGGGCUUCUGGCUUUUUAGUCGUUAAUGGAUAUUGGAUAUGGAAGGAAUCUUUUGAGUAAUUUUCGUACGAUUAAGUGCACGUCUCAGUUAAACUUAAUUGCAAUAUAUUAAUGAGAGGGUUUAAUUAAGUAUUAAGUCUUUGAACUUUUAUUUCUAUUAAAAUUAAGUCUUUAUUUUAUUUCUGCAACCAUGACAGUCAGUGGCCCGAACUAAAAAAAAUAAUUAGAGAGAGCAAAAAGAAAAUUUCAAAAUUGAGAGGUACGGUAUCAAAAGAAAUCAUUAUUUUAUAAAUAAAAAGUAAAAUUUUCUAUAUUUUAAAAGGUAAAUUUCAAAAAGAAAAAUUUAAAAUAAGGGGACAGCCGGCGGUAGCUCCACCACUGAUGACAUUGAAUAAAGUUCAAGGUUGACACUAAGUAUGGAUGUGCAAGAAAAUUGCUAUAACAGUUUAUAGCUCAGCAAAAUCGAAGCAUUGAAGGUGGUGAAAGUGGAGCAUGUGCGGUGGUUUGGAGUAUGAGAAGCAGUGAAAACUAAAAGGUAUAAGAAAUUGAAAUUGUGAAAGUUUAUUUUUCCCAAGUCCUAUUUUUAAUAUUUUAAUAACAGGCCUGAGUUAAUCGGGUCUGUGCGAAUUGAUCGGUUUAACAAUGGAUUAGCAGAAUUCAGUUCUUUCUUAUAUGGUUCAAAAGUAGACUCUGGUUUAUAAGGAAAAAAUUUGAAAUCAACGACAAAGUAGAAAUUCGAAAACAAUAAAUUUAUAAGGAAAAAAUUCCACAAAUGCAAAAAUAAACAAAAUCCUCUGGAAAUGGAAAAAAUUAUCAACUCCAUGAGCAAUUACACGCUUAUCUCUAUAUAUAUUCCAAUGCGUAAUCUUAACACCAUUAAUUGAAAAAUUAUCUAGAUCAUCAUAGUCAAAAUUAAUUUUAUGAACUAGAUUGGCUAGAAAGUAGAAAUUCGAAAACAAUAAAUUUAUAAGGAAAAAAUUCCACAAAUGCAAAAAUAAACAAAAUCCUCUGGAAAUGGAAAAAAUUAUCAACUCCAUGAGCAAUUACACGCUUAUCUCUAUAUAUAUUCCAAUGCGUAAUCUUAACACCAUUAAUUGAAAAAUUAUCUAGAUCAUCAUAGUCAAAAUUAAUUUUAUGAACUAGAUUGCAAAUAUUCGAUUCAACAGAUUCUUUGAAAGUGAAUCCUGAAUUAAAAACCUGUUGAUCAACUUUUGCAAGAACAAUUUGAUGGGCGAGAUCAAUCUGGUCCUGCAAAUCAAGAAUAGCUUCAUUUCGAGCAGCAAAGAAGGUGAUAGAAACGUUUUUUCUUACGCUAUGGCUGAGAGGGUCGCGACGAGCUCUGCGCUGGGUGUAGCAUUGGGUUAUUAAAUUGAAACCUGAAGCUUCAAGUGCUUUUGCCAUUAAAAGGUUGAGUGAAUCAUUUUCUUUUCCACCGUACAAUUUUAGGGAAAGUAUAUUUUACAUCAGUUAAGGCUCCAGUUUUGAGGAAAAAGUCGGUUACAGUUCUAGGAUUACGUUGCUGUGAUGCUUAAGAUGAGGAGGAGGAAGAAGAGAAGAAUGGAUUGGAUUGAAGCCAUUAAAAGAGAAACUGAAGAAGAAGAAGAAUAUAAACAAACUGAAUUGGCCACAUAAACAAACAGAGAAAUGGAGACAUUUGUUAAGUUAUUGACUGAAAAUCUUAAAACUUUUUCUUAGAAAAAAAAUCGAAAAUAAAAGGAAAUUAAAAAAUACAAGCACAAACGCGUAGCAGUUAACAAAUUUAUUUCCACUAAUUCUUUUGGAAUGGUAAAAAGAUGUAAAAUCUCUAAGGUCUCAAUUUGAGUGCAACUAUUUUUAUUCAUUCUAAUAAAACUUACUGUAACUUAUCAUCUGAAACUUUCUGUUAUGGACAUUGGCGCCCAGAGUGUCAUCCGCAUAGUGAAUUCUUUGACUGUACUUUUAACAAGGUUAUAUUAUAGGAGGUAAUGCUGUUACGGGAAUUAAAAUCUUCGAAAAAUUAACCCAAAGCGAUAAUUACUAAAUUAAUUCAUCACCAGUGGUAACCAUCUCCUUACUAUGAUCCCCACAUGCUAGUAUGGAUGAUCAAGCUACACAAGAUAUUCAUAGUUUAAAAGUUUGUUUAUUUCAUAGUUGAAGGUUAAAUGAGAGGUAAUGUUGUUAUGGGAAUUAAAACCUCCGAACAAUUUAUCUUUAAUAAACCAACAAAUUUGGGCGGAUAUGGAGUUAGAGGCCUACAGGUUAUAAAUGAUGCAGGAUUUGGAUGUGUUAAUCUCCAUUUUAAAAUUUUGUAUCCGGUCUAUUUGAAUUUGCUUCUUCUAAGUGGUGAUGAAAGCUGCGUCAAUGAAAACAUAACUCUAAUUCCUCAAUUCGGUAAUCAAUUCUUUUAUUGUAUUGGUAACAUGAUAAAUCCUCAUUACGGAUACAACGGAACAAUGUACUGGCACUACUAUAUGUAGUUCCAGUACAUUGCAUUCGUAUUGAGGAUCUAUCAUGUUACUAAUACAAUAAGAGAAUUGGUAACUAAAUGGAGGAAUUAAAGCUUAUGUCCUCAUAGCAGCACUAAUCAUCACUUGGAGGGAGAAGUCCAAAUACACUAAGUACAAAAACUUGGAGGGGAGGAUCAACCUUUUCAACACAUGCAAAUCCUACACCAUUUACAACCUACAGGUUUUUGAAUCCAUUUCUGCCCCAGUCUACUUGCGUUACUAAAGAUAAAUUUUUAGGAGGGUUUAAUUCCCAUAACAUCAUUAUAUCUCAUAUAACCUUGAACUAUGAAAAAAAAAAAAAAAAAAUGAGCUUUUGAACUAUGAACAUCUCGUGCAACUUGAUUGCUCGUACUAGCAUUUAGAUUGUAGUAAAGAGAUGAUAACAAAUGAUGAGAAUUAAUUUAGUAAUUAUGGAUUUGUGUUAAUUUGGUAAUGUCAGUGGUAAAAGUAAAUGUAAAAUUAAUGGUUAAUGUGAUGAAAACAAUCACUCAAAGAGAGAAAAUAAGUGUUAAGAAGAGCUUGACUAAAUUUCAUGUGAUUUAUGUAUAUAAUUGGACAUGUAAUGCUCUAUGUGAUCACAUUACAUGGAUGAAUUGUGCAGUUUAAAAAGCAAAACACUCACACUUUUGAGCAACCAAUUCUGAAUAUGCACAUUUCAAAUGCAAUACCUAAUUCAACUAAAAAAGGACAUUAUUAUUCGUAUGAUCAAAUUAGAAUAUUAUUGGUCAAUAUAAAUUAAUUGGUUACUUCAACAUUAACCUAAUUAAUUAAUUAAAAAAAAAUUUACGUGCUAUUCUUAUCAUCAUGUCAUUCAAUAACUUGUAAGAAAAAAAAUUCCAUAAAAAUGCAAAAAUAGACAAAAUAUUAUUAGAUUAUCAUGAAAAUCAAUUCUCUAGAAAUGAAAAAAAAGUUGUCAACUCCAUGAAUAAUUAUAUGAUCAUUUCUAUAUAUAUUACAAUCCGUAAUCUUAACACCAUUGAUUGAGUAAUUAUUUAAAUCAUGAUCGUCAAACUUAAGUUUAUUCACUCCAUUGCAAGGAACAAUUCAACAUAUCCACCAAAAAGAAUACCCAGAAUGGAAAACUUCUCGAUCAAUUUUAGCAUAAACAGUUUGAUAGGUAAGGUCAAUCUGGUCUUUAAAAUCAACAAUAGCUUCAUUUCGAGGAGCGAAAAUGGUGAUAGUAAGGUUGUCUGCACCAAGGCCGAGAUACUUAUGGUGAUCUCUUUGCUGAGUGCAGCAUUGAAUUAAAGGAUCUCUGGAUCAUUUUCGAUUGUUUUAAGUAUACGGGGGAGUCUGGGUUUAAACUGAGUUGGGACUCUAUAGAGAUAUGUUGGUGUGGAGCUUAAUAUGAGGAGAAAGAGAAGAAUGUAUUGAAUACAAGUCAUGCAGCUGAAUAAUAAUAAUAAUAAUAAUAAUAUUAUUAUUAUUAUUAUAUGUUUAUUUUGUUUACUGGGUUUUAUAAUUCUCAGACUCAUGGAAUUAGGAUUUGUGAUCAAAGACUCCCUAUUCGAUAUUCUAAAGGAUAUGCUGACGUUCAAUUGUCAAUUUAUAGAUAAUUUUAAAACUUUUUUUUUCCUUUUCAAAUAUAUAAUUGAUUUUCAGAAAUUUGUAUUAGUGGGAAUAAAACCCAUAAACUCAAGUGUACAUAAUUUGUUCACAGAAAUAAGUAAUGAUAACUAGUUAACAAGAAUCACAAUAAUGCAAUGAGAUUAAAACGAACAUGCAUUUUUUUUUUUUUUUUCUGUCAGUGGUAAGAGUUAUUUUUUAAAAUUCUUCAACUUAGGAUUUUAUUUUAUUUUUUUCCAUUCUAUAUUUCAGGAAUCAAAAACAUUGUUAGUAAUUCUCAAUAAAUACCUCAAUAGAUGAAUCCCGCGCGUAUAUGAACAUCAAACUAGCUAAAGAACAUCAAAAUGUUGUUUCUUUUCCAAAUAGUAUCUAAAAUGGUGUUUUUUUUCAUAAUGCUAAGUAGAUUCUAACCAAAGGAUAGCAUUUUCCAUUGGUGGAAGUGCAAGGGCCAUGGAGAAUUCACAAGAGAAAUUUCUUGCAGUAAACUGACAGCUAAUUCAAGACAGGCUAAGAUAAUAAGAUCAUUCCAUUAUGAUGCUAUGUUGCCACAUUUGAAUAAUAUAUGCUCUUCUUCUAUUGAGGUUAUAUCUCCAUUGACAGAAACCCAAGUUUCUGCAAUUUUGUCCACUGUCCCUUCAAGAAUCUCAACCAAAGUAAAUCCUCGCCAUGUCCCUCUAGAGUCCGUUGAGCUUCUGUCGUCACCGCUGAUUCUUUUAACUCUGGGAACAAUAGCCCCAUUCAGGUAUAUAGUCUUGUCACUGCCAACCACAAGCAUUUUUCGUAGACCAUUUCCAUAUGCCAGCUCUUUAUGCAUAUGGCCGAACACAAUCAGAGGGAUAUUCAAACUGGUCUUCUCCUUUAAGUGGGAAAUUGCUUGAGCUAGAUCUGUACCAGAGGAUGAGGAUGUUCUUGUAAAUAUAAUGGGGUGAACAUUUAUUCUAUAUUAUAGACAAAUACAUUGCAUCUUAUAACACAUUUUUGGUUUUGUUCCCUAUGCAUAUCUAAUGACUUCAUGCUCCUUUUAAGUUGCUAAUCAUUUAAGGCUAAACUAAUUAUACAUAACAAUCACAUCAAUGCCCAGAAUGAAUUGUAUUGCAUGGUGCACUAAUUUAGUGAAUUAACAAAGCUGAGACACCUAUAAAAGCACAUGAAUUCAAAAAAGUUACCUGGAUCACCAUAAUCACCGCCGCCAAACACCCAAUCUUUUCCACAAAUGUCGUUCAAAUUAGAACCAAGACCUGAAAAAAGGCAAUUAAGGCCAAAAAUAGAUAUCAAUAAAAGCUAACAUUUUGUCGUGAAUUUUGGCCAGCUGAUCACCUGUGGGCCCAUUAUGUGCGAGCAAUAUAAGUAGAUGGUCUUCUGGAGUGCCCAAAGCGGUAUGAUAGAUUCUCAUGGCACUUCCAUCCAUGUCCUGGACUCCAUAUCUGAGAGAGUAUUCCAAUUUUAGAAAGUUGCAGAAUGAGCAAUAAAAUCAAGCAACAGACUACAUGGAAAAGAAAUUAAAGAAAAAAAGAUUCAAUAUUAGCUAAUCCAUUCAUUCAUUUGAAAUCUAACUCGGGUCUAGUGAAGUCACACGAAUUUGAAUUGCAAAGAAACAUGAUUAAAUUUUGUGAUUUUAAUAUCAAGGCAAAUACUAAGCAAGAUAUAGGAGAGCAAGUCACUGCUGAAUUUGUUUCUUUGAAAAAUAAGAAAGAAAACAUGAAGAACUGUGACAUUUAAAGAUUAAAAUGCCAUAAACCUUCAUUCUUUUCGGGUUUUAUAAGUAGACAUGAAAAGUCCACAAUAAUGAAUGGAAAGAAAACAAAGAAUAAUCGAAUUUUGGAAUUUACUUCAACCAAUACAAACCUUGCAGACAGAAGUUUAUUCCGAAAUAGCUGCUCACCACCACAUGAAAAUGGCCGUCCACCAACAACACUAAGUUUAAGCUCAGGGAAAUCCAAACGUUUGUAACCUACAUGUUCUUUGCCAAGACUGACCAUUUCCAAAAAGGUAUUUCAUUCAACAAAUAAAUUACUUCAGAGUAGAGUCCCAGCAUGAUGUGCAAUGUGCUGGAGGAGAUGUAUUGAAACAGUUCUAUAUCUUUCUAUCACUAUAUUAUAUAUUGCAUGCACGCAAUUUGUAAUGAAAGUGAUAUUGAAGGCCAUAUAUAAAUGACUCAAAUACGAGUAGAUGCAUAUAUGCAAUAUCCUCUCAUUAUUUGAGAUAUUUUUUUUAUUUAAUUUUUCAUAGAAGAAAGGAAUAGAUGAAUUAUUUGAAAUAUACAUGACUUACACUCUGUAUGGAAAAAAUAUCCAGUCCAAAGGAAUAAUAACAGUUCACAGAUAUUAUAAAACCUUUCCAAGUCAAUUUACCGUUCCCCCUUUCUUCUCUCUCUACCCUUCCUUCUACAUAGCCAGUUUCAUAUUCAAUACCAACUGUCUAAGUAGGAAGCGGAUAACAAUACUCCAAUAACACCAAAGAAAUGAAUGAAACAGUAAUCCUACAUGAUUCUUAAUGCUGACAUGUCAAGCAAUAUAAAGAAAGAGAUACUAUAAGCAUAAAGAUAAGAGCAAAAUUGGAAUAUUUUUAGAUGUAAACAUCUACUUCAUGCUAAUGAAGCUAUAAAAAGCAGCAUAUAGAACAUUUGCGUUGCUCAGGGACAAGAUAAGCUCACCAAUCCAGCUGAAGUUGAACACCAUCCUUUGUCCUAAUAUUCAAAUAAAAAUAAUAAUAAUGUAGAAUGAAUUAACUUUAUGUCAGGAAUAUGAAAACAUACUCCUAUGGCCUAUUUUACAAAACUCAGAGAAUAAGGCUAGCUAUCUGCAAUAUAUCACAUAAACACAAGUACAAACAAGAAAUAUACUCUUAUAAAAAAUUUCAAACAACUUGGGAACUUCCUUUGUUUUUCUUUCUUUCUUUAUUCAGAUUACCCGAUUAACAUUGCAUAAAAGAACUGAAACGGCUGUUUAUAUUAUUAACAUCGCACAUAAGAACUGAAACAACUGUUUAUUAUAUUUAACAGUACCAGUCCCCAUAAAUUUAAAAAAGAAAAUUGCCCAAAGCAUAGAACAAACAACUCAUUUUAAUACAUAGAACCAAUGAAUUAGAUGCAAUUAUAAAGUGGGCUGCAGCAAUACACACUUACUUUUGAGAGAACUUCUGAGUAUACCAGGAAUCAUGAUUUCCCAAAAUAACUGCUUUAGGAAAUUUAAGAUCUGCAACACUUUGGACGAGCUCUACAUUCUCAUUACCAAAAUCACCUAAACAAGGCCCAAGGAGAGGGGAGGACAAGAAAACAAGAAAAAAAGGCCAACAAGCCUAAUAGGUUAGAUUUAACAUUUUACUAGUAAUGUUGCAAACGCAUACUCAGAAUGACUGGUCAUGGUACAUAUUAGGCUGAUUUUCAUAAGUCUAAUGAACAUGUAUAUAGUGCAUCUGCAUGCACUAUGUGUCAAUAUGAACUGAAAAUUGUUGGUGUCCCACAUGGAACCAGAUCCCUUUUAAAUAUUUCCUUGAUAUUUGGCUUGUCAGUGAAGACAGUCAAAAAGGGUUGUGAAGGCACCGUGUAUGAAUUAAAUGAGGACCAGCCAAAGACACCGUACAGGUAAAAGGUGAUUGAGAAGAAAACCUGCCUGUAAACAGCACCAAAUCCAGCUGCAUAAUGCAACAUAUAUUAGGUAGGUAGAGGAUAGCUAUGCACAAAAAUAAUAGGAAAUGCUCACGGAAAAUCUAAAAGAAAAUUGAGAGAAAAAAAAUGGCUGCUUAAAGGCAACAACACCAAGCUAUAAAGAGUUUGUUGACCCACAACAACUUAAUCUUACAUGGAAUUUUUACUAAAAUCAAUUUUUAGAAUUGUGAAAUGAAUCUCAAGAUGGACUCCCAAAGUUAGCUAAACUCAAAUAGGCACUACAAAAAGCUUGAAUAGUCCAUGGCCCAAAUAAGCACAUAGCAACCUCAACUUAAACUCAAUGUCAGUCCUGCUUAUUUACAUCCUUAAUGCAGGAUUGUUCACCUGUGUUACAUUUUACCUACACCAAUAUUUUUAAAUAUGAUAUGUAUGCAUAUGUGAGUGUCUUUAGUUCCAGCAGAAACUAUCCUUCAAUGCAGAAAAAGAGAAAUACAAGAAAAGGGACACUAUGAUGAGCAUCAACUUAAUUAAGGGUGUCUUUUGCAUGCCAAAGUUUAGUGGUUUUAACUGAUACAGACAACCCAAUAUAAUGUCGGCAUAACCACCUGUGUCUCUUGAUUGCAAUUGGGAGAAGCAAUGGUUGGCACCAGCAUCAAGUUCAUAGAAACCCUACAUUGAAAUUCUGUACUUUCAAUGUGGGAUCCAAGUCCCAUAAAUUAUAAUUGGGAUAAUAACAUCCAAUCUUUUUCUUCUCUUGGAUCCAUGGAUCAGGCCCACCAAAGUACGGCCAUCCAUUACCGUCUUUGUCUAUUUCUCAUGACUCCCAAAUUCAUGUUCAACGAUGCCAUCUAAAUUCACUUUCCAUAGAUAUAUUGCAUUUUGGCCCAUUAAUGAACCCAAAAACUCUGCAAAACCUCUACAGAACACCUAAAAUGAAUUGUGACAGAUGACUCCUAUUUUCACAUUACAAAUCCCAAAAUCAGUGCAGAUGUUUUCUCCUCAAUUACAAGGAAAAUUACUUUUUAGUUAUGAACACGAAUAUAUAGAAUUAUAGAGUAAUAAACGCCCAUCCCCCCGACAGACAGACAGACAGACAGACACACACACACACACACACACACAAAAGCGAAGAGAAGUACCUGCAGAAGUUGAAGAGCCUUUGUAUCCUCUUCUAGAUUCCAAUCAUCAUGCUUCAAAAAAACCCCAGAAUUUUCAAAAAAAGAAACAUAAUUUGCUGAAUAAAAAUUUUCCAAAAAUGAAAUGAUUCCACAAUUAAAACUUAUAUUAAUCAAUUGCUAACCACACCAACAAAACCAAAGAUAGGGUUUCCAAGUUGAAAACGGAACACAUGCUUCGAAGAGCAAAUAAAUGCGAGAGAGAGAAACUCACUACGUCUCCGACGACAGCUACUCGAGCCGACGCCGACAUUGAAGAGCAAUGGGUGGUUCUCUUAGAGGAAAGGAAGGGGCGAGUAUGAAAAAAGCACGGAGUGGGCGCGUGAAGAAACGCGCUCAAGUUUGCCAUAACAUAACCUUCGCUUCCAAUUUGGCGCGCUAUUUUUACUGGCAAAUAAAGGAGUAGGUGGAACUUUAAGCCGUUAAACUAACACUAUUGCUGUCCACGUCACUGCCGUUCCGUGUAAAAUACUGUCAAAUGUCAUUCUCAAGCUAUGACUCAUUUUUCAAAAUUAAAUGGCAAAAAAAUAACAUGGUCAAAGAAAAAAAAAAAAGAUCAACCAAGAUGGAUUUGAGCAUGUGAUAUCAAAGCAUUUUUCAGCAUCCUUAUUGUUUCCUAAGUCAAAUUUUCAUCUUCUGUUAUUGUAACACGUCAAAAUGUCAAUAUGAAGCUCAAAUAUCUCAACCCAAAUUUCUCUAAGCUACAUCCAAGAUUUUCCGAAGGUGACAUCUUUUACUACAAAAUAAAUUGUUGACUAUAAAAUAAAUUGACUGUAAAAUUUUCGUUGUUUCAUCUUUAUCGGUCUUAAUCAAUACAUUGUUCACUCUAAAUAUAUAAAAAUAUAAAGAUGCACAUAUACACUCGUAGAGACAAUAUAAUAAAAUAUAAGAUUCUUAGAGCCAGUUAACUUUUAUAUAUAUAAUAUUUAUUUUAUAUUUUUAAAAGGAUAUUUUUUAUAUUUUUCAACUAUAUCUAAUUUGAUAUAUCUAAUUUUUACAUUUUACAUUAUUUUUACAUUGUUUGAUAUAUAAUUUUUCUAAGUUGAAAGAUUACGAAAUUAUAUCUAAAAUAUAUCUGUCAAAUAUCUGCCCUAUCCAAUUCUCUCAUUUAAAUAUUUUACAAAGAAACAAAAAAAAGAAACAGUUACGUGUCAGAAGACUUGAGCUAUCAUCAAAGUCAAAACAUAAAUAGGAAAUCAAGAACUUUUCUUCAACAAGAACCUAACAAGAACCUAAAUUCUCAGGCACAAAUUAACAGCUAAUAAGCAUAAGCUCUUUCUUUCUUCUUUCAUGGCUAUCAAAACCACCGUUGCCCUCCUAAUAUUUCUAAUCACUCUCAAUUUUCAUUUCUUGGAGGCAAAAGAUUGGAUCAAAGCAGCAUACUAUGAUUCAUCAAGUAACCUCCCUGCAUCUGAAGUAAAUUCUGCUCUUUUCACUCACAUUUUCUAUGCUUUUGUUGCUAUAAACACUUCCACUUACCAGCUUUCGUUCCCCUUCUCUACUGAAUCAUCUCUCUCAACUUUCACAGUUAACAUUAAACGAAACAACCCAUCUGUCAUUCCAGUUCUGUCAAUAGGACUCGGAUAUGGAGACUAUUCUCCAUUUUCUUCCAUGGUUAGCAAACCUUCUUAUAGGAAGUCUUUUAUCAAGUCUUCAAUGAAAAAAGCCAGGUUUUACGGAUUUGGUGGCCUGGACCUCUGUUGGGUAUGGCCUAACACAACAUCUGACAUGGAAAAUAUUGGAGUUCUUUUAGAUGAAUGGCGUGAAGCUAUAAAUUUUGAGUCAAGAAACAGCACUGUUACUUCUGAGCCAAAACUUAUCCUGACAAUGGCUAUUUAUCGCCAGCCAACUAUUGCCGAUACGAGUUUCCCAGUUGAAUCCAUGCAAAGAAACUUGGAUUGGGCAAAUCUUAUAGCAUAUGAUUAUCAUUUGCCUUUAAAAGAGAAUAUUACAGGUAAUCAUGCAGCUUUAUUUGAUCCUUUAGGUCAUAUUAGUACUGAUUCUGGUAUAAAGUAAUGAUUAAGGAGAGGAUUGACAUCAGAAAAGCUGGUUUUGGGUUUGCCUUAUCAUGGCUAUGCAUGGAAAUUAGUGAACUCAAAUGACAAGUACUCCAUUGGUGCACUAGCAUCAGGACCAGCGCUUACAAUGGAUGGUUCAAUAGGCUACAAGUUGAUCUUAAUUAUGGCUAUGGAGCCAUUUCAAGCUACAAUGCUACAUAUGUAGUUAACUACUUUAGCAUCAAAUCAAUUUGGAUCAAUUUUGAUGAUGUUGAGGUUAUUCAGACUAAAAUUUUAUAUGCUAAGACAAAGGGAUUGCUUGGGUACAAUGCUUUUCAGCUUGGAAACGAUGAUGAUAACUGGGAGCUUUCUCGAGCUGGUAUGGAAAUUGUUCAUCUAUUACCUAAGUUCUGUUUGAUACUUUUUGUUGAGAAAAGUAAUCAUAAAAGCUUGAAAGCAGCUAAAUAAUACUCUCCAACUACUUUUUCUAACAGCAUAAAAAAUUUUAUUUUUCUGAAGAAAUAGUUGCAAUCUCUAUGCCAGACACUCGUAUAUAUAUAUUUAUAUGCACUGGAAUGAGGUAUUUAAAUCAUUUCUGUAAGUUGUUUUGUGUAUCUUUCUAAUACCUGGAAUAAAUUGGCAGCUUAUGAGGUUGGUGAAGUUCAUGAAAGGAAAAAGCAUUUAUGGAUUAGAGUUUCAAUCCCAAUUGCAAUGAUUACUCUGCUGAUCCUACUUGGGUUUCUAUCAUAUUAUAUAAAAAGCAGAAAACUUGAAUCAAAAGGUAAAGAUUUUCUUAUUUUUGCCUACUUAGACUCCAUUGUUUUGCUUUCUUUAGAAAUAGGUAAAUAUCUAUGAACAUGAUUCUUGACAGCAUUUGGAUUCUCUCUGUGUUUUAUGUUUCAGGGAAACUGAGUUUUGGUGAUACAGCAGUUGAUGAAUAUCAGUACCAAAAUGCUCCAAAUUUGCAAAUAUUCAAGUUUUCUGAAAUCAAAGCAGCUACAGGCAACUUUUCAUGCGAAAAUAGGCUUGGAGAGGCGCUUACAAUGGAUGGUUCAAUAGGCUACAAGUUGAUCUUAAUUAUGGCUAUGGAGCCAUUUCAAGCUACAAUGCUACAUAUGUAGUUAACUACUUUAGCAUCAAAUCAAUUUGGAUCAAUUUUGAUGAUGUUGAGGUUAUUCAGACUAAAAUUUUAUAUGCUAAGACAAAGGGAUUGCUUGGGUACAAUGCUUUUCAGCUUGGAAACGAUGAUGAUAACUGGGAGCUUUCUCGAGCUGGUAUGGAAAUUGUUCAUCUAUUACCUAAGUUCUGUUUGAUACUUUUUGUUGAGAAAAGUAAUCAUAAAAGCUUGAAAGCAGCUAAAUAAUACUCUCCAACUACUUUUUCUAACAGCAUAAAAAAUUUUAUUUUUCUGAAGAAAUAGUUGCAAUCUCUAUGCCAGACACUCGUAUAUAUAUAUUUAUAUGCACUGGAAUGAGGUAUUUAAAUCAUUUCUGUAAGUUGUUUUGUGUAUCUUUCUAAUACCUGGAAUAAAUUGGCAGCUUAUGAGGUUGGUGAAGUUCAUGAAAGGAAAAAGCAUUUAUGGAUUAGAGUUUCAAUCCCAAUUGCAAUGAUUACUCUGCUGAUCCUACUUGGGUUUCUAUCAUAUUAUAUAAAAAGCAGAAAACUUGAAUCAAAAGGUAAAGAUUUUCUUAUUUUUGCCUACUUAGACUCCAUUGUUUUGCUUUCUUUAGAAAUAGGUAAAUAUCUAUGAACAUGAUUCUUGACAGCAUUUGGAUUCUCUCUGUGUUUUAUGUUUCAGGGAAACUGAGUUUUGGUGAUACAGCAGUUGAUGAAUAUCAGUACCAAAAUGCUCCAAAUUUGCAAAUAUUCAAGUUUUCUGAAAUCAAAGCAGCUACAGGCAACUUUUCAUGCGAAAAUAGGCUUGGAGAGGGUGGAUAUGGACCUGUUUACAAGGUGAAUUUCAACAAAUCCUUCAUUUUAGGUGCUUCUUAUAAGGUUAAUAAAACUAGUAACUAUAUAUAUGUAUAUAAAAAUGAACUUGGAAUGAAUAUAUUCAAAUUGCUAUGUAUUUGAAUCAUUGGGUGUAAGAAAAUUCCAUAUUGACUAUUUUGUUGGGCUUCGUCAGGGUAAACUUGCAAAGGGAGGGGAAAUAGCAGUGAAAAGGCUUUCAAAAACUUCACAUCAAGGAUUUAAGGAGUUCAUGAAUGAAGUUAAACUUACAGCAAAGCUGCAACAUGUUAAUCUAAUAAGGCUUUUGGGAUUUUGCACUGAUAGAGGAGAGAAAAUGUUGAUAUACGAGUACAUGCCCAACAAAAGCUUGGAUUUCUAUUUGUUUGGUAAGUGAUAUAUUAUUUAUUUCCCUAUUUGGUUCUCUCUCCAGAUUAGAAAUAAUAAAAGAAGCUUAGGCUCGUAACUCUGUUUUUGAUGCAGAUCAAAAGAGAAGAUUGGAAUUGAAUUUGGAACGACGCGUUCAUAUCAUUGAAGGGAUUGCUCAAGGGCUUAUGUACCUUCAAGAAUACUCAAAUUUGACAAUAAUUCAUAGAGAUAUUAAAGCUAGCAACAUUUUACUAGACGAUGAGAUGAAGCCAAAGAUUUCUGAUUUUGGUAUGGCAAGAAUUUUGCAGAAGGAGAGCAACGAAGCCAAGACAGGCCAGAUUGUUGGGACAUAGUAAGUAAAUUGCUUCUUGAAAAGCAAUGUAUUUGAUAUCAUCUAACAAUUACAUACAUACAUAUACCAGAAUCCUCUCCUUAACCAUCCCUUUAUACCAGAACCAACCCAAAUUUCUCUAAGCUACAUCCAAGAUUUUCUCUAAGCUACAUCAUUGACUGAACAAGUUUUGACUUUGAUGAUAGCUUAAGUCUUCUGACACGUAACUGUUUCUUUUUUUUGAUAUCAUCUAACAAUUACAUACAUACAUAUACCAGAAUCCUCUCCUUAACCAUCCCUUUAUACCAGAACCAACCCAAAUUUCUCUAAGCUACAUCCAAGAUUUUCCGAAGGUGACAUCUUUUACUACAAAAUAAAUUGUUGACUAUAAAAUAAAUUGACUGUAAAAUUUUCGUUGUUUCAUCUUUAUCGGUCUUAAUCAAUACAUUGUUCACUCUAAAUAUAUAAAAAUAUAAAGAUGCACAUAUACACUCGUAGAGACAAUAUAAUAAAAUAUAAAAUUCUUAGAGCCAGUUAACUUUUAUAUAUAUAAUAUUUAUUUUAUAUUUUUAAAAGGAUAUUUUUUAUAUUUUUCAACUAUAUCUAAUUUGAUAUAUCUAAUUUUUACAUUUUACAUUAUUUUUACAUUGUUUGAUAUAUAAUUUUUCUAAGUUGAAAGAUUACGAAAUUAUAUCUAAAAUAUAUCUGUCAAAUAUCUUACCUAUCCAAUUCUCUCAUUUAAAUAUUUUACAAAGAAACAAAAAAAAGAAACAGUUACGUGUCAGAAGACUUAAGCUAUCAUCAAAGUCAAAACUUGUUCAGUCAAUGAUGUAGCUUAGAGAAAAUCUUGGAUGUAGCUUAGAGAAAUUUGUUCAGUCAAUGAUGUGUCCAUUACCAAAAUGUUGCCCAGAUAACAUAGCUUUGCCUUCUUCAAUCGAAAUUGUAUAAACAGGCAUACAAUUGCAUUUUAGAGUAAACAAUUUCUAUUCCAUGGAUGCUACCAUUGCAAUAUAUUAAAACAUCACCUAUUAAUUAAUAUUUUAUUCCUUUUUUCAUUCUAAUUAACCCCUUCAUUUGCAUUUAGCAAACGUUAAUAUUUAAUAAACAUUGAUUUUUUAUCAUUAAAUAAUAGAAAUACAAACUAAUGAUAUCAACUGGAAUUAUAAUUAAUAACCACUAAAUAAUGAAAUUACAGUAAUGUGAUUAACUAAUUGAAUUGAAAUAUAAUACCAAUUUAUUAAAGUUUUGCCUUAUAAUUAAAUCUUUUUAUAUUUUAUUUAAUUAUAAAAAAUUAACAAAUUAAUAAACAUUUCAAUUGAAUAUAUGAAGUUUCUAAAGUAAAAAGGACAUAAUUUAAUUUAUAAACAUUUCAAAAUAUUUCAAUCUAUUAAUUAAAAAUUUCAAUUUAUUACUUGAAAGUUUCAAAACGGAUAUAAUUUCACAUUGUAUCAUUUAAUUAAAAUAAAUUAUUUAAAUUAAAUGAACAACAAUUUUCUAAAAACAUUUAUCCUUCCAAUUGUUUAAAAAAAAUAUAAAAUUACACAAUAUGCCAACGGAAAUUAUAUAAACAUACUACUACUAGUAGUAAACUCAAAACUCUAUUAAUCUGUAGUCUAGGAUUCAUUAGUUAACUACCAAAGUAAGGGCCAAAAAGAAAUUAUUAACAUUUUUCUCCAAUUAACCACUAAGAUGUUUUCAAUGAAAAAAAGGGAAAAAGAAAACAUUUGAAAAAAGAAAAUCCAGACCAAGAAACGUUUUGAGUCGAGGCUCAGAUCUUAUUGUGUCAAUCAGGAAGGUGACCAGAGCUAUGGCUGCAACAAAGAAACUAAGUGCGACUGAGAGAGUUGGAGCCAAAAUAAAUAAAUAAAUAAAUAAACAAAGGGAAAAUAAUUAUUUCGUCCAUGAGGUUCGAAGCAAACAUUGUGCAGCCAAAAACGUUAUUACCCUUUUGAGUGUCUGAUUUCACUGAUCAGAAACAUCAUCACUGCCUCAAAAACACAAAGCUAGAUAGGAGCAUUUUGGUCAUUGUACAAAUUUUCCUGUGAAACAAACAAGGCUUGAAGAGAAAGAUAAAAAGAAAACGAGGCUCGGAUCAGAUAUCCAAACAAUUGGACAAGAAAGAAACACCAUUAAACCAUGACUGCAAUUAAGGAAUGACAGAAAUUGAGAGAAACCUCAUUUUGCUUAUUUCCAAAGAUUGCCCCGCCAAGAUAAAUGGUUAUUUAUAUCUCAGCCUGAUUUUUGAUUACUGAUAUAUCAUCAUAGCCUCAUCAAAUAGACAUUAUGUAUAUUAUCUAUGUUGCAUGGAAACGGAAACGUAGGCGCGUGGAAACGCAGGAUCGGAAACGGACAACAUAUGAGAAAUAUCCAGUUUAAGAGGGGAACAAUGCUUCCAAAUUGCCCAAUUUACAGAAAUUGCCCCGAGGAGUUUCCAAACAUUUCAGUGCAACAUAGAAUAUUAUAGAUAAACAGAAUGCAGAGGAAGUUCAUUAAUUAAUUUAUUUAUUUUGUUUAAUGGCUGUUGCCAACAUAAAAAAAAUGAAAUCAUCGACUUAGCUAACAAUCGGACAGGAGGAGUCAACCACCCUGAAACCUGCCGCCUGCCUGAGAGCAAAGCCUCAUUCCCAAAUUAAUGAGAUACAAGUUUCCAAUAAACCAAACAAGGAGAGAGAGAGCAAGGGAUUUGGUAAAUUACAAGGCCCCAUUUGCAAAAUGAAAUUUCAAAUGAAUUUUCAUUUGCACCGAACAUGAAAAUCUAGAUUUGUAAAUGAAUUCCUUAAAAUUUUGUAGAACUCAUUUAAACCAAGAGGAACGACGGAUGGAAAUAAGCUACACUCAUACUAGUUAAGUUACUCCCACUGCCAAAAAUGACAGACGAGCACAAGUUCAUCUGGGAAAUAAACUCUAACCUGCCUUUUUUGAGAGUGGUAGGCUCAGAUUCGCCUUUGGUCAGACAGAAAAGAGAACAACAUAACCAUGGCUGCAACAAAAACAGGGAAAAAUCAAAGCUCAACGUUGCCUAGCCAAAGCUCUGUUUCUUACAACGUCUGUUUUCCACUAAAAAAAAAUCAUCACAGCCUCAUAAAAAGGAAAAGUUUCAGCAAACCACACAUAUACUUAACAGAGAUAGAGAAAUCUGAAGAAAGACAAGGCUCAGAUCAGAUAUGCCUUUGAAUCAGACAAGAAAGAAACAAUGGCAUCACUAUGGCUGCAACUCGCAAAGGCUGCCCCGCCAAGAAUGCUUCAUUUCUCUCGAAUCUGAUCUUUUGGGUCACUGAAUAUAUCAUCACAGCCUCAUUAUUAUUAUUAUUAUUAUUGUUGUUGUUGCAGCAUAUAUAUAUAUAUAUAUAUAUAGAGAGAGAGAGAGAGAGAGAGAGAGAGAGAGAGACACAGAAAGAUGUUUUAUUUUCCUUUUUCUUUCUUUUCCUUUUCUUCCUUUAGGGCUGUUGGUAAUCUAAGAAGUGAAAAAUCACAGGCUCCGCUACCGAUCAGAGAGGCGGAAGUCAACCACCCGGAAACCAUCAGCAUCUCUCUGAGAGCAAAACCUCAUUCUCAGCUGGAAUUUCCCCUACCAAAGAGAGAAAUACCUAGCUCUUCUCAUCUUUUCAUUUCUAAUUCUUUAUUUAUGGCGAUAUCACCUUGAUUUUAUUAUUCCAUGCUUAGCCUUCCUUUGUGCUGUAUUUAGUAGAAAACUGAGGGGUAUUAUUGCCAAUCUAUUAUCAUUAUUGCGAUUGGUAAAAAGGGCAUCAAAUGGAGGUCAAUUUUGUAAAAGAACCAAAGUACUCACAUUCAUCUUUUUACGAGACCGACACUGGCCUUGAUUCUACGCGUGUGCUUCAUGCGUGAGCGGGAGUGAUGGUUAUCGCUAUCUUGCAACAUAUCCGCGAAAAACAAUGCUCAUCUUUACGGUUUUUGAGGAUAAAUAUUAAAUUUAAUCCUUAACAGUUAAUUAAUUUUAAAAAUUCUAUAAAUUUAGUCACUUUUAUUAAAAAAUUAAAAUUUAUCUUUUCUUUUAUUAAAAAUAAUAAAUGUUAAAUAGAAAAAAAACUCAAAUAUAAAACAGGAAUAAAUAGCUUUAUCUUUUCUUUUCAAACAAAUUUCAACCCAAAAAAAAAAAAAAAAAUUUCAAUUAAAUAUUCUAUUAGUUUGAACUUAAAUUAUUAGAUCAGCUCCAGUCUGAUUAUUUUAAGUUUAACCGGAUAUCCAACCAAACAAUAAAAAAAUUAAUCAGUCCAAAUUGUCAAUUUCCCUUUCUGCAAAACUCCUACAGUUCACAUGCAGUCCCAUUGCGGUCACUCGCCGCCGUUUAGUUCGAAGUCAUGGCCUUUUCCGGUUGCCCAUCACCGGCAGUUAUGAUCAUUAACUGAAAAAAAAAAAAAAUUGGAAGUUCCAUAUGAGCUGAAUUAAAAAAGAACUGAUCGGGAAAAAAGCAAAAAGCUGAAACGAGAGGGAGAUAAUUAAGGAGGCUCAGAUCCGGAUACUAAAUGAUCAGGCAAGAGAAAGGUGAAGCACUACCGCCAUGGCUGCGACAACCGGUUGCCAGCGAAAAUGGUCUUUUUCAUUGGCCAUCCGGGUCGCCCCGCCACUAAGAAGCGGGUACUUUUGCCAUUUUUUGCCUGAUUGGACACUCUGGAAAGGAACGUAUCAUCACAGCCUUAUAUGUAUGCGUUUGUAUUAGAAAGGGAAUGAUAAAGAAAAAGAAAGGAAAAAAAAAAAAACAGAAGAGAACACUUUGUUUGGAGAGAGAGAGAGCGAGAGAGAGAUUGGACCGAUGAAAUCAUCGGCCCCGAUAAGAGCCUCAUUCGUUUUCCAGUCAGUGUCAAAACCCCAAGUUGGUCUCUGCUCUUUGUUUAUAGGGGGCUUGGUUUUCCAAUCUUCCGUUUUUGC
rnacentral:lncRNA from 1 species